AAAUGAAAGUUUUGGAAUUUAUGGAGCAUUGAACACAUUUAAUAUAUUGAUCCAACCUACAUUAUUUCAAUAAGUUUAAAAUAUCUUUGAAAGAACAUUUGAGAGUACAGUUUCUCUCUCUAAGCAAAAUACAGAAUGCACUCUAAGUGUUAUCAAUUAUCUCCUCCUUUGACAAGGAUUUAAUUAUCAAUAAUAGAGCAUCAAAGCAUUUUUCAGGUAAUCAAGAAUUUUUUUUGAACUUUAAAAAACCGUAAUACAUGCAUACCAUAGCCAUGGCUAAUGGCAAAAUUCAUGCAGUGAAAGGUCAAAGAAACAUAAUGAAAUAGACUUAAAUGAUGAAAUAAAACUUAGUGAAAUUUUCUAUGUGCUAAGCUUAAAACAGAAUCUAAUCUUGGUGCAUCAAUGUGAGGAAUAACAAUUAAGUGUUGAUCUUUGAGAAGGAAAGAUGCAUAGCUAUAUCUAAUUCAUAACUUCAAAAAAUCACCACACUAGCCAUUGAGAUGCAAAAUCUCAAUUCUAUAAACUAAAUCUGGAUAACAAAUCUUUAAUACAAGAUAAAAAUUCAAUUCAUUAUGCCAAAACAAAAUUUAACUCAAAAAUAUUGGCUGUAAACUCGAAUAAAGUAUUUUCAAAGAACACUGUAGAGCUGGCUAAUAAUGACAGAGUAGGGCGGGAUGAUCUGCCACCAACGAGGUCUAGCUCUAAAU
rnacentral:lncRNA from 1 species